rnacentral:rRNA from 1 species
UCGGGAAUUUUGGGCAAUGGGCGAAAGCCUGACCCAGCAACGCCGCGUGAAGGAUGAAGUAUUUCGGUAUGUAAACUUCGUAAGAAUAGGAAGAAUAAAUGACGGUACUAUUUGUAAGGUCCGGCUAACUACGUGCCAGCAGCCGCGGUAAUACGUAGGGACCAAGCGUUGUUCGGAUUUACUGGGCGUAAAGGGCGCGUAGGCGGUGUGUCAAGUCAUCUGUGAAAUCUCCGGGCUUAACUCGGAACGGUCAGAUGAUACUGCUUUGCUAGAGUGCAGAAGGGGCAAUCGGAAUUCUUGGUGUAGCGGUGAAAUGCGUAGAUAUCAAGAGGAACACCUGAGGUGAAGACGGGUUGCUGGGCUGACACUGACGCUGAGGCGCGAAAGCCAGGGGAGCAAACGGGAUUAGAUACCCCCGUAGUCCCUGAGCGGGCUGGCAAGGCGCAU